UACAGAGGUCUCAAGCGUUGUUCGGAUUCAUUGGGCGUAAAGGGUGCGUAGGUGGCGCUGUAAGUCGGGUGUGAAAUUUCGGAGCUUAACUCCGAAACUGCAUUCGAUACUGCGGUGCUUGAGGACUGGAGAGGAGACUGGAAUUUAUGGUGUAGCAGUGAAAAUGCGUAGAGAUCAUAAGGAAGACCAGUGGCGAAGGCGGGUCUCUGGACAGUUCCUGACACUGAGGCACGAAGGCCAGGGGAGCAAACGGG
rnacentral:rRNA from 1 species